rnacentral:lncRNA from 1 species
GGAAAGUGAGACCAAAAAAAGUUAUUUGACUCUGCAUUACAAAUGCCAACUAUAAUGUUUUGAGAUAAAUUGUGCAUGAAAACUGUCAGCAUGAGGUGUUUUAAAGAUUUUAUGUAUGUAUUCUAUAUUUACCUAAUGUGUUGUAUGAGCUCCAAAUCUUAUUCACUCAAAAUAUGUCAUCAUAUAGUAUUCAAUUUUUGGAUCUUUUAAAUAAGUAAGAGAUUUUCAGUAUUGGGCUGGGGGUGUAGCUCAGUGAUAGAGAGCUUGAAUAGCAUGCUUGAGACUCUGGAGUCCAUCCCCAACACCACAAAAGAAAGAAAGAAAUUACCUAUGUGAUAGAUUAUGAAAGCACAAAGCUACAGAAUAUUAAUCACCCAUGCAAACAUAUUUCUAUAUACAGAUUCCAUGAUUAGAAGUUUUAUACUUAGGAAAAUUAGAUUCUAAAUGUGAACAUUUAUGAAUAUCAUACUUUGACAUGAGGAAUAAAAAAUUACCAAGCACUUACCAUGUGCUUAUCUCCACAAUGAGAGAUGGUUUUGUGGUGCAUAAUUCAAAUCACUGUUGUACAUAAUUCCUUGUAUAAUAGUGUCUCUUUUCCAUAGAGCUUGAUAUUUGCUAAAAUAUUAAUAAAAAAUGAACCUCCUAGCCUACCACAACAACAAUCCUGACAACUCUUUUGAGUGGUUAAUCUGAGCUAAUUUACCAAUCAAAUAGAACUGAGUUCUAAACUAACACCCAACACACCUGGUCUCAGUCACACCUACUUGAAGAGGAGCCCAUUGCUUUCUGGGAGGAAAGAGCUCAUGCAAACAAGC